UACAGAGGGUGCAAGCGUUGCUCGGAUUUACUGGGCGUAAAGCGUACGCAGACGGCUUGGUAGGUCGGAUGUGAAAGCCCCGGGCUCAACCCGGGAAUUGCAUCCGAAACCACCUCGCUCGAGUAUGGGAGAGGGAAGCGGAAUUCCUGGUGUAGAGGUGAAAUGCGUAGAUAUCUGGAGGAACACCGGUGGCGAAGGCGGCAUCCUGGACCGAGAUUGACGCUGAGGCGCGAAAGCCAGGGGAGCAAACAGG
rnacentral:rRNA from 1 species